rnacentral:rRNA from 1 species
GAGUUUGAUCAUGGCUCAGAUUGAACGCUGGCGGCAUGCCUUACACAUGCAAGUCGAACGGCAGCAUGAUCUAGCUUGCUAGAUUGAUGGCGAGUGGCGAACGGGUGAGUAAUACAUCGGAACGUGCCCUGUAGUGGGGGAUAACUAGUCGAAAGAUUAGCUAAUACCGCAUACGACCUGAGGGUGAAGGUGGGGGACCGCAAGGCCUCAUGCUAUAGGAGCGGCCGAUGUCUGAUUAGCUAGUUGGUGGGGUAAAGGCCCACCAAGGCGACGAUCAGUAGCUGGUCUGAGAGGACGAUCAGCCACACUGGGACUGAGACACGGCCCAGACUCCUACGGGAGGCAGCAGUGGGGAAUUUUGGACAAUGGGGGCAACCCUGAUCCAGCAAUGCCGCGUGUGUGAAGAAGGCCUCCGGGUUGUAAAGCACUUUUGUCCGGAAAGAAAUCGCACUUACUAAUAUUAGGUGUGGAUGACGGUACCGGAAGAAUAAGGACGGCUAACUACGU